GUAAGGCCUCUGAGGCGGCAAAGUAUGUGACAAGAAGAAUGUGAAUCAUUGGAAAGUUGGACAGCUUGGCAGACUGCAGAAGGAGUUUCACCAAGUCUGAGGCAGAAAUACGAGUGAGAACAUACAAACUGGGGCUUCAUGCAUUGGCACAGUAAGUUAAACAACUCUGGGUCAAUGACGAAAUAGUGGUAUGAAAUCACCAUUUAGAAAUGGUCUCAUAUUUGCCUUUAUUUGUUUAGUACAAUAAGGGUCUUACUGGGAUUUGCAA
rnacentral:lncRNA from 1 species